GAUGAACGCUGGCGGCGUGCUUAACACAUGCAAGUCGAACGAAGCACUUUAUUUGAUUUCCUUCGGGACUGAUUAUUUUGUGACUGAGUGGCGGACGGGUGAGUAACGCGUGGGUAACCUGCCUUGUACAGGGGGAUAACAGUUGGAAACGGCUGCUAAUACCGCAUAAGCGCACGGCAUCGCAUGAUGCAGUGUGAAAAACUCCGGUGGUAUAAGAUGGACCCGCGUUGGAUUAGCUAGUUGGUGAGGUAACGGCCCACCAAGGCGACGAUCCAUAGCCGACCUGAGAGGGUGACCGGCCACAUUGGGACUGAGACACGGCCCAAACUCCUACGGGAGGCAGCAGUGGGGAAUAUUGCACAAUGGGCGAAAGCCUGAUGCAGCGACGCCGCGUGAGCGAAGAAGUAUUUCGGUAUGUAAAGCUCUAUCAGCAGGGA
rnacentral:rRNA from 1 species